UGUGUCGUCCACGGGGCAGGG
rnacentral:misc_RNA from 1 species